AGUUGUUGGUUAUCCCGGAAGGAAGGAAACUAGAAUUUAUUCUACAGGCACUAUCUCUUUAUUGCUGUAAUGGGAACAUUGCACUGAGAAUAUAGAGCCAGAUCCAAAAUGCUUCUAAAAGGAGAAGGCAUUCUCUUUGUUGGUUUAAGCCAACUUUGUAUCAGGCUUGUUACUAACAAACCUCAGAAUUUGAAGACAUUUGAAGACAUUUGAAGAUUUGAAGUACUAAUCCCAAUUCUAGAUUGGCAUCUGAUUCCCGUAGUUUUCCUAGAGACUUAUUCCUUAUUAAAGACUAUAAAAGACCCUAAAAGAGUCAUAUAUGCCUAGCUCCUCAGAGAGGAUGAAAUAAGAACAAGCUUGCUCAGGCCUGUUCUAAGAGCAAUUUCACAACAACUGAUUGAACCUGGAGUCUUCCAUCCCAUCAAGCACUGAUUCUUAAUGUGGUAUGACUGUAUCUUCUGGAGACUGACUGGCCUUUGCAUUUCUCUUCCUCAAGACAACCAAAAGGCAUGCAGAGAUGAUCAUUCAGACAAAUCCAAUCUUGGUCUUCAUGAAGAGAGCACAUUAGGGGUCAAGAAGGGAAUCCUCCUCCUGGUGUUACGGUGAACUGCUGGCUCAGAAUAGAGCUCGUUUCUGCGAAACAGGAAGCGUUGACCAUUGCCUGAAGCAGUCUUCUAGAUGAGCUGAGGAAUGCGGAACUCAAGAAGUGAUUGGUCCAGUGAUGCACAUGAGGGACCAAGAACAGAGCUCCGAUCUCCUGAAACCCAGCCACGUCAUUUGUGGGUCCUCAAAAAGCAAGAUGUACACCCUCUAGCAGGACGUGGGGGUAGUCUGAACAUUGCCAUCAACUCUGCUGAGGCUGUCAUCUGAGGCUGACACCUAGCUGGAGAGAAUUGAAAACAUUGCACAACCUGGUAGAUUUGACUACGGUGUUUUCCUAAUGGACGUAUCACAUGAAAAGCACAGACCCUCUACAAAGUCUACUUGAGCAGCACGCUAGCAGACAGCAAGCUUUGUUGCGUGAAAGGGGCAAUUGUGAAGCUACACACGAUGUUCUUGAUAUCGUCUGCAAAAAAUGGAGCAUGGAUUUUUAACGUCAGGUAUGCAGUUUCCUUUCUGUUGACUGCAGUGAUUUCCGUCUUGUAUAAAAUAUGCUAAAAGGAAACAGUAGCCGUAUGGACAAUUCUGAAACUAUUAUUUGAUGUCACACACUUCAUCUAAGCCAUUUCCCAUGUAAAAAGAUGAAAACCCCAAAACAUCUGAAGGAGAUUAGUGGGGAAAAAAAAAAGGGAAACUACCCGAUUUAGAAGACAGGCCAUAGCAGCAACUAAGAACAGCAACUUAAACUGCGUAUGAGGGAAUGGUUCCUGGCAGCCAGAUAUAUUAAUACACAUCUAGAUGCAAUUGUGCAAAGCCCCCCACGGUGGCAGCUCUAAAACUGUAGAAGGUGUAGCUGCAGCAGUAAAACUUUGCACCGGAGCUAAGAAUGGCAUCACCAAAACCCUCGGGCACACAUGCAGUCCUGAAUCAGGGGACUAAUCUUUUUGACUAUUUCGACAAGGACUGCCACGUGGGCAAAAUAACCCCCUUCAUACAGCAUUUCACCACUGCUAGAAUAAAAUUAGCAUCUCACCAAUAUCUUUUGUGGUUACUGGCAAGUUCAAUAAGAUUAAAAGGAGUAUUUAUUCAAAUAUUUCCAAUAUCCUAGUGGGACUGUACAUGGCUGCAGUCUGCUUAAGCAAGAGAAGCCGGAUGUGCAAUGAAGAUCUCGAAGAAGUAUGCCGAGUAAUGUUUGUUGGUGCUUUCCCUCUCAAUAGCAUAAUCCCUAACACAGAGAAAGUCCACUCCUCUUUUAAAGAAAGUUCUUGCUCGCUACUGGGAUCUUACUUGUAUGGGCCUUUUGGGGGUUGUUUUUAACAUCGUUAGUUAUAAAAUUAAAUACAUAGGAAUGGGAAGGAGACACAACACUGUAAUUAUAAAAGGAGCAGAAUCUUGUCAAUGAAAGUUUCCCUUGGCUCUUUUCCCUCUGUCAUUUAUUUGCUGCUAUCUCGCUUAUACAGAACUUCAGCUGAUAUACAAAGGUAGUUCUUGAUCUGGUGAAUAUUCAACUGUGCUAA